rnacentral:rRNA from 1 species
UACGUAGGCAGCGAGCGUUGUUCGGAGUUACUGGGCGUAAAGGGCGUGUAGGCGGUUGUUUAAGUUUGGUGUGAAAUCUCCCGGCUCAACUGGGAGGGUGCGCCGAAUACUGAAUGACUUCGAGUGCGGGAGAGGAGAGUGGAAUUCCUGGUGUAGCGGUGAAAUGCGUAGAUAUCAGGAGGAACACCGGUGGUGUAAACGGCUCUCUGGACCGUAACUGACGCUGAGACACGAAAGCGUGGGUAGCAAACAGG